CAGCAAUAUUUGAAGCAAUAUAUAUGAAUUUACACUUGAACUAACCUUUUAUGAUGUGAUAUUUUAACAUGUACAAAACUGUUCCUCUUAGUGAAUGGAAACUGCUCUAUUAGUGUGAAUGUAUUUUUUUCUGAAAUACAUUUUUAGUUUGUAGCACAUUUUUAUUCCUUAACCAUCUAAACUAUAUUUAGAUUUACAGGAUGAAUUUCCAUAUUAAUAAUACACUCAGUUCCUUGCUGAGAGGCAUAAACUCAUUCAGAGAUGACCCUUGCCUACUUGAAUAUCAAGGCUGCUGUCAAAUCUUGCUGGUCUUUUUCCUCUCCACUCUGGAAGGCUAA
rnacentral:lncRNA from 1 species